rnacentral:rRNA from 1 species
AGUCGAACGCAACCUUCGGGUUGAGUGGCGGACGGGUGAGUAACGCGUGAGAAUCUGCCUUGGGGUCGGGGACAACCACUGGAAACGGUGGCUAAUACCGGAUAAGCCUUUGGGUAAAAGAUUUAUUGCCCCAAGAGGAGCUCGCGUCUGAUUAGCUAGUUGGUGAGGUAAAAGCUCACCAAGGCAGCGAUCAGUAGCUGGUCUGAGAGGACGAUCAGCCACACUGGGACUGAGACACGGCCCAGACUCCUACGGGAGGCAGCAGUGGGGAAUUUUCCGCAAUGGGCGAAAGCCUGACGGAGCAAGACCGCGUGAGGGAGGAAGGCUCUUGGGUUGUAAACCUCUUUUCUCAGGGAAGAAGCUCUGACGGUACCUGAGGAAUCAGCCUCGGCUAACUCCGUGCCAGCAGCCGCGGUAAUACGGAGGAGGCAAGCGUUAUCCGGAAUUAUUGGGCGUAAAGCGUCCGCAGGUGGCGAUUCAAGUCUGCUGUCAAAGCACGGGGCUUAACUCCGUUAAGGCAGUGGAAACUGAAUAGCUAGAGUGCCGUAGGGGUAGAGGGAAUUCCCGGUGUAACGGUGAAAUGCGUAGAGAUCGGGAAGAACAUCGGUGGCGAAAGCGCUCUACUGGACGGCAACUGACACUCAGGGACGAAAGCUAGGGGAGCGAAUGGGAUUAGAUACCCCAGUAGUCCUAGCUGUAAACGAUGGAUACUAGGUGUAGCUUGUAUCGACCCGAGCUGUGCCGAAGCUAACGCGUUAAGUAUCCCGCCUGGGGAGUACGCACGGCAAGUGUUGAAGCUCACAGGACUUGACGGGGGGCCCGCACAAGCGGUGGAGUAUGUGGUUUACUUCGAUGCAACGCGAAGAACCUUACUAGGGCUUGACAAUGUCCCGGAAUCCCAGGUGAAAGCUGGGGAGUGCCUUUCGGGAGCCGGAACACAGGUGGUGCAUUGGCUGUCGUCAGCUCGUGUCGUGAGAUGUUGGGUUAAGUCCCGCAAC